rnacentral:rRNA from 1 species
UACGAAGAGGGCUAGCGUUGCUCGGAAUCACUGGGCGUAAAGCGCACGUAGGCGGGUCGUUAAGUCGGGGGUGAAAUCCUGGAGCUCAACUCCAGAACUGCCUUCGAUACUGGCGAUCUUGAGUCUGGGAGAGGUGAGUGGAACUCCGAGUGUAGAGGUGAAAUUCGUAGAUAUUCGGAAGAACACCAGUGGCGAAGGCGGCUCACUGGCCCGGUACUGACGCUGAGGUGCGAAAGCGUGGGGAGCAAACAGG